rnacentral:rRNA from 1 species
UCUGGUGGCGAUAGCGAAGAGGUCACACCCGUUCCCAUGCCGAACACGGAAGUUAAGCUCUUCAGCGCCGAUGGUAGUUGGGGGUCUCCCCCUGUGAGAGUAGGACGUUGCCAGGC